ACGCAGACUACAAUUCCCAGUCGGCUCUGCGCUACUCUUCUGCGCGCGAGUGCGGUCCGGUGCCGAGCAUGGGGUGUGCGGGCUUCGUCGCUGUUAACCCUCUAGGGGCAACCAACAGCGUCCUUCUAAAGAGGGCGCCUGUUGAGAGACAAGAAGCGAAAAUCCUAAAGGAAAUCAGACGCAGGGAUAUCCACUAGAUCGCCGGCUGCAAGAUCCGAGAGGCCCCAAACAUCCCAAAGCCGCAGAGUUUUCUCCGACCUCUGAUGUGCUGAAAGAUUCUGGCGAUCGCUGGUAGAUUCCGGAGACCAGACCCACAGACCGACCUCGAAUCCGUAGACUUGCAGGCAAAGCCCAGGAAUCAUUGGCUGAUCCCGAAGACCUCCGUGAAACCACAGGCUCAUAGGCACAUCUCCGAGGCCAAGACAACCGGCCAAGAAAACCCACUGCCAGCUAAGCUGCGUUCAGCUGGAGCUCCUCCGAACGGACCGACUUGCAGCCUUCCCUUUCCCCAGCUAGGAUGAGGGAAUUAGACAAUGGAAGUCGAGCACUAGGCAAAGCAGGCAUUCUGCAUGGGGAAGAGCUCCGAGCUCUCUGUAGCCUUGGAGAGGGAAGUGAUGGAAAAAGAAUAUAGCAGCUUAUUAGGGACUCCCACCCUCUUCAAGUUAUAAAUAUCCCCAGAACCUUG